UACAGAGGGUGCAAGCGUUGUUCGGAAUUAUUGGGCGUAAAGCGCGUGUAGGCGGCUUUGCAAGUCGGAUGUGAAAGCCCUCGGCUCAACUGAGGAAGUGCAUCCGAAACUGGCAGGCUAGAGUACUAAAGAGGGUCGCGGAAUUCCCGGUGUAGAGGUGAAAUUCGUAGAUAUCGGGAGGAACACCGGUGGCGAAGGCGGCGACCUGGGUAGAUACUGACGCUGAGGUGCGAAAGCGUGGGGAGCAAACAGG
rnacentral:rRNA from 1 species